ensembl:snRNA U1 U1 spliceosomal RNA
ACAUUUACCUCUCAGGGGAAAUGGCAUGAUCACAGAGGUGGUUUUCUCAGAGAAAGACUUAUCCAUUGUGUUCCAGAUGUGCUGAUCCCUGUGAUUUUCCCAGAUUGAGAAACUUGACUGCUUAAUUUGUGGUUUCGAGGGACUCCAUU